rnacentral:tRNA from 1 species
GCCCCGGUAGAGGAACGGUACACUCGCCCAGCUCAAACCUGGGAGCUUGCCGGUUCGAUUCCGGCUCGGGGCA